GGAAAAUUUGUCAACUCCAUCUUGAUUAAUUAUUAAAAGGUUUGCUUACCUAUUCAAAUGGUUUUAGAUUUCAUUGUCUUCUAUUCUGAUCCCUCCUGGGUCCAUGACCUGUUAGGAGAUUUUAAUAAGUACUACUUGUACUUAACAGAGAAUAUUGGAUGUAGAUACAGUUUGAUGGGACAGAAGAAAUUCAAUAGUAAGUGUUUCAUCUGGACAUAUUCUACAAGAAGAGAAAAAAUCCACACAAAAGAUAGUGAUUACACAGUCUUAGAUCAAGGGCCGUGCAUGAGCACACUGAAAUCCGUAAACUCCAUUAGUGACAUCUUAACAAUAAUUAUCUGAAAAUUAAUUUUUAUUAACCAUAAUAAUAACUGAACAGAUAAUGUAAGACAGUUUAUAAGCAUAAUAAAUAAAUAACAAAUAGUUAUAAAUACUAAGCUGUUGCACGCUUGCAUGAUAGCAUAAAAUACCAUUUGUAACAUUUUGAAUUAAAGGAUUUUUUUAUUUAAUUGAAUUACAGUUAUAGCCAGAUAUGCUGAUACUAUAACUGCAAGAAAACUGGAUUACUGAUGUCAUCAGAUUUGAUGCCAGUUGACACUUUAAGAGCUUAGAGUGCAUGCUGUUUUAAAUGCAUUUUU
rnacentral:lncRNA from 1 species